rnacentral:lncRNA from 1 species
CCAGGGUGCUUGGCGCUGCUGAUUCUGCUGGGCUUGAGCUAACGUUGAAGAGGGGAGUGCUUUGUGAUUCAAGAACUUUUUUGCCAAAGCUACAAAGAGUCU